rnacentral:rRNA from 1 species
UACGGGGGGGGCAAGCGUUGUUCGGAAUUACUGGGCGUAAAGGGCUCGUAGGCGGCCAACUAAGUCAGACGGGAAAUCCCUCGGCUUAACCGGGGAACUGCGUCUGAUACUGGAUGGCUUGAGGUUGGGAGAGGGAUGCGGAAUUCCAGGUGUAGCGGUGAAAUGCGUAGAUAUCAGGAGGAACACCUGUGGCGAAAGCGGCGCACUGGACCACAACUGACGCUGAGGCGCGAAAGCUAGGGGAGCAAACAGG